ensembl:lncRNA
GUAUUUAUCAGCUUUUAACUUAGUUUCUGUAACAAUUAUUUUAGCAAUCAAACAUAUUAAUCAGAGUCAGAAUGUUCUUUAAUACUACAAAUUUAUAAUAUAUAUUUAAAAAUAUAUAUUAUAUAAAAAGUAGACUUAAAUAGAGAACAUUGUUUUUAAUAUGGAAGACCAAGCCUCUCUUUAACCUUUGGGUAUUGCACAUUUGCUUUUAAGUGCUAGAGAAAGAAAAGAAAGAAAUAAUACAAAAUCUAGUGUAACAUCUACAGACCUCAAGAUCAAGAGCCAAAUAUUAUGCAACCUGAAAAUACUGUGCAGCUGAGCUUCAUAUAGAGUUAGAUCACUGUAACCAUGGAGAAAGCACUAUGAGGAACAGGUUUAUCACAUUGUUUUCACUAUUGCCAGUUGGAUGCAGAACUAAAUAAAAUCAGUGGGACUUUUCAGAACAAGCACUCACUAUCUGCUAUGUAUUAUGUCUUCCCUCCCACCCACAAAGGCACGCCAGGUCAGCGGACCCUGUUCUCCGGAAAAUGGUUUUGGGUGCUUUACACUGUAUGGAGCUGCCCACAGAGCAAUCAUGUUGGAAGUGAAAAAAGAGGAAGAUACAUUUCGUUUCCUCCUCAUAUUUGUCUUCCCCUUAUCUUCAUCCAGAGAUGGUAUCUUUGGUCCUCUUGUCAGAAAAAUGUUUCAUACGUGAAGAAUUUCAACACAGUGAUCCAGCAGAUUAAACUCUCACACUUCUCUGUUCUUGGCCUGAAAGCUGAAAAUGAAUAAAGAAAAUGUGUAGUGAGGAGAAGCUUCUAGCAAAAGUAAUUCUCUUGGCUUCAAGAAUGAGGUUUGAGGUGAACAAAUCAACUUGGUGUUCCCAUAUGGGCCCAAGAGGAACUAGUUCAGAUGGGGACUGGGAGGCUCGGCAAUGCGAACUGCUCUGACUGCCAGCUCUGCAACUUUAAAGCCCCAGCAUGUGAGAGCUCACUGGAUAAAGAAGUCCUUCCCAUGACUCCAGCUGCUGGCUCUAUCACUUCUGGCUAAUGAGAGACAGAAGCAGAAGAGGAAGAAGACAAGUGGCAGGAGACGGCAGCAAAGGUGCCACAGAUAAGUAGGGGGGAAGGAUAAAAGGGGAGUGCUAGUCUGUUAGACACUUUUCCCAGCACAGUACCUGAGACCUGAGGCUCAACAGUCUGCUAUCAGCAAAUACCUGUGAAACCACUGAUAAAACUAGCCUGGUAGUCCUUUCAGGGGAUGGCUCAAACAGUUCACUAUUGCCAUCGAUUGCAUCAAGUCACCCACUGCCAGAGACAUGGAGCUUUUAUCCCUUCUGAGAUAGUCAGCAAAGACUAUUCUCAUGACAAUGACUUGGCCAUUUUCAGCUUUGCAUUGUUUAAAAAGGGAAAGUGAAGAAAUUAGACCAGUGUUAAAAUAACACUAAGAUUGCAUAGUCAAGCACCAAAGAGAAGGAACAUACCAGACACAGGCUAUGAAAUGUAUCUGUCUUUGGCCUUCUUGUACCUAUGUAGUAGGAUAUGGCUUCAAAAGAAGUGACUACAUACUCAUUUUCUCUGGGCACCCUGCUUCUCAUUCAGAGCAGAGAAUGGCCAUUACUUAAAACAUCAGAUGUGGUGAAUGUACAGCGUUGUAUAGGACUGCUUCAUCCAGACAUGGAAAAUAUGUCCUGGGUUAUGCAAGGGGCUGGACGAUGGCUUUAGUCUGUCGUUCUCAUAUUCCACCUCAGUACUGGCAUGAAUCACAAAUGCUUUCCAUUACAAUAGAAGUCAUAGGAAACUGCUUUUU